AAUGUGGAAAUAGGGAAAGGGUCUGAAUACUUUCCGAAUGCGUUGUAUGUGAGAAUGCUGUUCAUUGAGAACAGCUCAGCAGAGGUAGAGAGAAUGGUGACAUGAAGUGGUUUCUGUCCUUUUUCAUAGUUGUAUAAUUUGUAAAUGUUGAAAUCAAUGGUUUUUGUUUGGCAUACAUUUUAAAGUGAAUAAUCUGAGUCAAAACGUAAUUCCGUUAACCUGGAAUUGCUCAUAUCUGUCUAUUUAGGAUUUUAGAAACAUGUAGAAGGAGAUCCCUAUAUUGAAUCGAACUUUUCCAAGCAAAUCCAUUAAGGAUUGGUCAGUCAACUUUGGUACUGUGUGUCUUGUUUGAUACAGGGAGGCAGUGAUGAUGAGAGGAAACACUGCAAGCUACUGGAGGCUAUCAGCUCACUUGGGGGGGGGGGAAAGGUCAGAACUGAUCAUGUUUUAAUGGUACAUUCCUAGAUAAGUGGGGCUUCUGGAGUUGUAUAAGAUGUUAGAUUCUAAAUGAACAGAGUAAAACUCACGGACGACUAGUAAAGCUCAAACCAAGUUUAUUCAACCACUGGGUCAUUCAGCUGUAUAAGACAAAGACAUGUUUACACAAGCACAAGUAUUUAUACCCCCCUUUAGGCUUUUGUCUCCUCCUUUUCUCUAAACACUACAUCUCUGUUGCUAGGCAGGAAGUUAUGUGAUGUGGGUAAUAAAACUGUUCCUUCUCCUUUCAUGGGACUUGACCUGACCUGACCUCGGCCCACAUUCCUCACUAAUCUUCAGCUAUCCACCCUUAUCAGUGACCACAACCACGUGAUUGCCUUUUUCCUUACUUAGUAACUUUCCAAACCCCUGGAUCUUAUCCACCCUCAAUUAAACCCACCAUAUACAUUCCUCCUACAUAUAACCAUUAACUUCUGGUGUAACAAGUAUUUCAAAUUACAACCUAACAAAGAGAAAUGCAGACCGGAGGACUUAGCCUACCAAUUGAAUGAAAUCAACAGCAUGUAAUGUAACAUUUUUUAUUUGUGUUGCUUUUGUGGUCAUGUAUGUUUGAUCAGUUUUUGUGUCAAUGUGCAUUAUUCAUACUAUUAGGAAGAAGCUUACUGAACGGUCUGAAGAAAGCAUUGAGGUGUCAGAAUUCACAGUCAAAGGUCAAUUAAACUAAAUGUACCCGGUUUACUUUUUUCAAAAUCCCUUGUGCUUUUAUCAAGAUAGUUUGACAGUUCAAGUAGUGAAAAGUGUAGCUAAAUGUCUAACAAAAUCCAGGAACAUGUGAUUUGACAGUCUGAACUGUAUGUCUGUCUGCGUGUCAUGACAGACAGGUAAAAGAGACAAAAUCAAUUUGUUUAACCUCAUUGGAACAUUGGGUAAGACCCCCAGUGCCUUAAUGAAGAUGAAGAAGCAGCUGAAGAACCUUCAACACAACCAGAGCACCCUGGAAACACCCCUGACCAGGAAGUAGACAGAACGGAUCCAAAGAGAAGUGGCUUUUGAGAAAACGUCAAAAGAGGUGUCCUGCUGGCAGAGUGUGGUCCUACAGAACCAGAAGGCAUAGCAGCUGGUCUUCCCACUGAACCAGGAGCCCUCUGGCCCAAAACACAUAGAGCAGGUGGUGGCUGGAUGGACGGACCCAAACCUUCCCAGAACAAGAGAUAUUCAGCCUCCUGCACAUGAACAAGCAGCCUCUCCAUGACCCUGUUCUGGCACCCACUGAGGAGGCUUCUCUGAGGGCCAUGAGUCUGGAGGGAGUCCCACCUCAAGCAUCCAGCAUGGGGUCAUAUGCAUAGGAUAAGCUACAUCUGGUGUGUUAGUGCUGGGCAAGGGCAAAGACCUGCACACACUACUGCCCUUGACUUUAUUUUGUAUGUGCACUAAAAGGACAAUGUACUGGAAAAACAACAAUGCACAAAGGUUUUCUAGAUGGUUAUUGAUGGUCUCACUUACCUACAACCAUGCAGAUCUCCAAAAAGCCAGAGCUCUAUAGUUUUAUCAUGAAGCGAAAGUCAAAAGGGAAAUAAAAAUUAAAAACCGGGGCAUAUCCUUCCAAUAUAGUGUACAGUUGACCAGGGCAUAUCCUUGCAUGAGUGACUCAGCAGUAAUCCGCUUCCAAAGAUCAUCUCUUUAUUCAAGGCUCCCAAUUCACUCUCUUCCUCCACCUGCCCUCUUUGUACAUAGUGCCGGAUUAUUAUUUUAAGCCCCUUUUCUCCCCAAUUUCAUGAUUACGAUCUUGUCUCAUCGCUGCAGCUCCUCAACGACCAAACUACAGAGGCAUGCUUUUGGCGGCCCGAUCGGCAGCCAGCACUAAUGCUUUAGGAAGUUGGCAACUUGUCCUACAGAUUCCAAAUUCCUGCAGGUACGUUAUUUGCUUCCUGUGUGAACUCAGCCCAAAUGUUCAGGGAAUGCGCAAGGUGUCAUCACCCAUGCCCCAAUACUAACUUGUUUACCUGGAUGCAUGCCACCCAACACCACCAGCACGGUUUAAUUUAUGUUAGAACUUAAGAACACCAAAUCUAAUAUUUCAACCUUUGUGAAUCUAUGAAACUAGAUGAUCCAUUUUUGUCUGCACUUAUUACACAAAUGAUAUGAAAUGUCAUUGAAUGUAAUGUAUGAUAAGAAUUCAAAGAAAAUAAAUACAUUUACCAUUAAAUGAUAAUGAUAUGACAAAUUAUAACAAGUGUGUAAAUAAAUCUGUUUCCCUCACACAGCUUGAAUAACAGCACUGAAAGGCAAGCUUUCAUUAAUCUGCAUUGCCCUUUUUUCAGAGCCAGUGGAGGCUCCUCA